CCUACGGGUGGCUGCAGUGGGGAAUAUUGGGCAAUGGAGGAAACUCUGACCCAGCAACGCCGCGUGAAUGAUGACUGUCUUCGGGUUGUAAAGCUCUUUUUUCAGGGAAGAAAAUAGUGCCAGUUGCUUAGGAAUAAGCCUCGGAUAACUACGUGCCAGCAGCAGCGGUACUACGGAGGCGGCGGGUGUUAUGCGGAAUGAAUGGGCGUAAAGGGUGCGUAGGUGGGUUGGCAAGUUAGUUGAGUACCUUCAAGGCUCAACCGUGGAACUACUACUAAAACUGGUAGACUUGAGUGCAGGAGGGGCAAGCGGAAUUCCUAGUGUAGCGGUGGAAUGCGUAGAUAUUAGGAGGAACACCAGUGGCGAAGGCGGCUUACUAGACUGUAACUGACACUGAGGCACGAAAGUGUGGGGAGCAAACAGGAUUAGAUACCCCAGUAGUC
rnacentral:rRNA from 1 species